AUUGAACGCUGGCGGCAGGCCUAACACAUGCAAGUCGAGCGGAGCGGAGGACGGGGGAGGAAUGCCAAGGAAUCUGCAUGGUAGUGGGGGAUAACGUCCGGAAACGGGCGCUAAUACCGCAUACUAUCAGAGAAGCCUAGGUCGGAUUGGCUAGUGGGUGGGGUAAAGGCUUACCAAGGCGACGGUCCGUAACUGGUCUGAGAGGAUGAUGAGUCACCCUGGAACUGAGACACGGUCCAGACUCCUACGGGAGGCAGCAGUGGGGAAUAUUGGACAAUGGGCGAAAGCCUGAUCCAGCCAUGCCGCGUGUGUGAAGAAGGUCUUCGGAUUGUAAAGCACUUUCAGUUGGGAGGCGUUACCCGCAGAAUAAGCACCGGCUAACUUCGUGCCAGCAGCCGCGGUAAUAC
rnacentral:rRNA from 1 species